rnacentral:tRNA from 1 species
CAAAGUGUAGCUUAUAUUAAAGCAUCUGGCCUACACCCAGAAGAUUUCAUACUUAUGACCGCUUUGA